GAUGAACGCUGGCGGCGUGCCUAAUACAUGCAAGUAGAACGCUGAAGGAAGGAGCUUGCUCUUUCCGGAUGAGUUGCGAACGGGUGAGUAACGCGUAGGUAACCUGCCUGGUAGCGGGGGAUAACUAUUGGAAACGAUAGCUAAUACCGCAUAACAGUAGAUGUUGCAUGAUAUCUACUUAAAAGGUGCAAUUGCACCACUACCAGAUGGACCUGCGUUGUAUUAGCUAGUUGGUGAGGUAACGGCUCACCAAGGCGACGAUACAUAGCCGACCUGAGAGGGUGAGCGGCCACCCUGGGACUGAGACACGGCCCAGACUCCUACGGGAGGCAGCAGUAGGGAAUCUUCGGCAAUGGACGGAAGUCUGACCGAGCAACGCCGCGUGAGUGAAGAAGGUUUUCGGAUCGUAAAGCUCUGUUGUAAGAGAAGAACGAGUGUGAGAGUGGAAAGUUCACACUGUGACGGUAUCUUACCAGAAAGGGACGGCUAACUACGUG
rnacentral:rRNA from 1 species